UACGGGAGGCAGCAGGUGGGGAAUAUUGCACAAUGGGCGCAAGCCUGAUGCAGCCAUGCCGCGUGUAUGAAGAAGGCCUUCGGGUUGUAAAGUACUUUCAGUCGUGAGGAAGGUGUUAAGGUUAAUAACCUUAGCAAUUGACGUUAGCGACAGAAGAAGCACCGGCUAACUCCGUGCCAGCAGCCGCGGUAAUACGGAGGGUGCGAGCGUUAAUCGGAAUUACUGGGCGUAAAGGGCACGCAGGCGGUUAAUUAAGUUGGAUGUGAAAUCCCCGGGCUUAACCUGGGAAUGGCAUUCAAGACUGGUUAGCUAGAGUCUUGUAGAGGGGGUAGAAUUCCAUGUGUAGCGGUGAAAUGCGUAGAGAUGUGGAGGAAAUACCGGUGGCGAAGGCGGCCCCUGGACAAAGACUGACGCUCAUGUGCGAAAGCGUGGGGAGGCAAACAGGAUUAGAUACC
rnacentral:rRNA from 1 species